rnacentral:rRNA from 1 species
CGGGACGGGUGGGUAAUGUCUGGGAAACGUGCCUGAUGGAGGGGGAUAACUACUGGAAACGGUAGCUAAUACCGCAUAACGUCGCAAGACCAAAGAGGGGGACCUUCGGGCCUCUUGCCAUCGGAUGUGCCCAGAUGGGAUUAGCUAGUAGGUGGGGUAACGGCUCACCUAGGCGACGAUCCCUAGCUGGUCUGAGAGGAUGGCCAGCCACACUGGAACUGAGACACGGUCCAG